rnacentral:rRNA from 1 species
GAUCAUGGCUCAGGAUGAACGCUAGCUACAGGCUUAACACAUGCAAGUCGAGGGGCAGCAUGGUCUUAGCUUGCUAAGGCCGAUGGCGACCAGCGCACGGGUGAGUAACACGUAUCCAACCUGCCGUCUACUAUUGGACAGCCUUCUGAAAGGAAGAUUAAUACAAGAUGGCAUCAUGAGUUCACAUGUUCACAUGAUUAAAGGUAUUCCGGUAGACGAUGGGG